CAAUACUUGAGCUAGAGUGUCGUACGGGUGCGUAACACGUAUGCAACCUACCUUUUACAGGAGUAUAGCUCCCCGAAAGGGGAAUUAACCCUCCAUAAUAUCAUUGGAUGGCAUCAUUUGAUGAUUAAAACUGAGGUGGUAAAAGAUGGGCAUGCGUCUGAUUAGUUAGUUGGCAGUGUAACGGACUACCAAGACGAUGAUCAGUAGGGGACCUGAGAGGGUGAUCCCCCACACUGGCACUGAGAUACGGGCCAGACUCCUACGGGAGGCAGCAGUAGGGAAUAUUGGACAAUGGGUGAGAGCCUGAUCCAGCCAUGCCGCGUGCAGGAAGAAGGCGUUAUGCGUUGUAAACUGCUUUUGCCAGGGGAUAAAACGGUUCUGCGGAACUAAUUGAAGGUACCUGGUGAAUAAGCCACGGCUAACUACGUGCCAGCAGCCGCGGUAAUACGUAGGUGGCAAGCGUUGUCCGGAUUUAUUGGGUUUAAAGGGUGCGUAGGCGGCCCUGUAAGUCAGUGCUGAAAUAUCCCGGCUUAACCGGGAGGGUGGCAUUGAUACUGCAGGGCUUGAGUACAGAUGAGGUAGGCGGAAUUGACGGUGUAGCGGUGAAAUGCAUAGAUAUCGUCAAGAACACCGAUAGCGAAGGCAGCUUACCAAGCUGUAACUGACGCUGAGGCACGAAAGUGUGGGGAUCAAACAGGAUUAGAUACCCUGGUAGUCCACACUGUAAACGUUGAUGACUCGAUGUUGGCGAUAUACAGCCAGCGUCCAAGAGCAAUCGUUAAGUCAUCC
rnacentral:rRNA from 1 species